CGAACCUGUAUCGCACUGUUACAAUACAGAUGCGGUUCGGCCAAUCUGUACCCACCUUAACAUUUUGCUUAUACAAUUUCUUCUUAUGAAUGAAAUCAUGUUUUGAAAAAAUUAUGACUUCAUUGAAAUUUUUAUUAGUUUUUUGCCCAAGAUUAAGUUAUAUAAUCCCUCACUUAUUUUGGAUACUUAUAAUUUAUUUAUUUGUAACACAUUAUUAUGGACAAACUCCAGUAGCACUAAGGCAGGAUUUCGUUUGUAGAAACACAGUAAACAGUAAUUAUAGAGAAGCGCUUUCGACUUUAAUUGUCUUAGAGGAAAGGUUCAUUUUCCUGAAACAAUGUA
rnacentral:lncRNA from 1 species